rnacentral:tRNA from 1 species
GGGGGUAUAGCUCAGUGGUAGAGCAUUUGACUGCAGAUCAAGAGAUCCCAGGUUCAAAUCUGGUGCCUCCU